ACUCCUACGGGAGGCAGCAGUGAGGAAUAUUGGUCAAUGGGCGCAAGCCUGAACCAGCCAUGCCGCGUGCAGGAAGACUGCCUUAUGGGUUGUAAACUGCUUUUAUAUGGGAAGAACCCCUCUACGUGUAGAGGCUUGUACGGGUACCAAUAAGAAAUAAGCACCGGCUAACUCCGUGCCAGCAGCCGCGGUAAUACGGAGGGUGCAAGCGUUAUCCGGAAUCAUUGGGUUUAAAGGGUCCGCAGGCGGUCAAUUAAGUCAGAGGUGAAAUCCUAUAGCUUAACUAUAGAACUGCCUUUGAUACGGUUGACUUUGAAGUUAUACGGAAGUAGGUAAAUG
rnacentral:rRNA from 1 species